rnacentral:lncRNA from 1 species
CAGCAAUUCUCCAGCUGCCUUCUGAGAACAAUGGCCCCUCACUUGGUCUAGCACCAAACAGAAGCCUCAUUUUCCUUAGACCUAGUUCUGGAAAACUACUUCCUGGCUCUCUUUUUAGUAUGAUAUAUGUUACGUGCCUGGCCCUUUAAAUUGUCCUAUGGUCUUCAGUGACAGUUGGCCUUUGGACUUCUGGGAGCAGGAGAGGGUAUAAAAGCCCACAGAAGCUGAGAGAGGCAGUAGGAGAGUGAUGAAGGAGUUGGAGAGUCCUCAGAGUGGGUAGAAGUAGGGUCCAGGAGUCAGAAGAACACAGUCAGAGAAGACAGAUGUUACAGGAAGAAAGUAUGGCUAGAGAAGAGAUGAGGUUUUGAAGGGUGAAAUUAAGAGAUAGCUGUGAGUGAAUUUGGGGAGCAGACCGAAAAGACAGUUGAUGACAGUUGAGGCAGGAGGAGGUGAGCUGAGCCAGAGAAAUAUUGUUAGGAGAUAGAUGAAAAAGAAUUCACUAACAAAGUAGCAAUAAGAAUAUAAAGGAAAACAUAACUUUUUACAAAGAGUUACAUUUCUAUCAGUCUGUUCCAGAGCACUCCCGGGAAGGGUCUGAGCAUCCCUGCAGCAGCGGCUUCUGUCUGUCUGGGUUUGUCCUGGGACCUCCUGAACCUAUACUAUCCACAGAAUGGGUAGAUAUGUGUAAAGGCCUCGAGAGCACUACUACAGGAGUAGAAUCUGCUCUUUACAGGGAAUGUAAUUUUGGCUAAGCAGAGAAGGUGUACACCUUCAGGUCCUGUCAUGUGGGAGUCAGAAGCAGGCAGAUAUCUGUGAGUUCAGGGACAGUCCACUCAGAACAUAGUAGAGGCCAAAACAGGAGUCAAAAUGCCUGAGACACAAAGAGUAGCAAACAUUUUUUUCCUGGACACAAGUUCUUGUUGACUAGAGCAGCACAAAACUUUGUGGUCCUUUCCUGGCAGAUAUUAGCCUUGCUGCUGAACAAAAGCCCAUAAAAGACAGAGACUCCAGGUGCAGGGGGACCCAAGUGCAUCUCUCCCCUCUCAUCCCAGCCUGGGUUCCUUCCUCAUAUGGAGGACUUCAAAGUGAUGCUGCAGUUUGUCUGCUAAGUUCUUUUCCUGGAUGGCCAUCUCCCUCUUCUGCAGCAUGUACUUAAGCAUUAAGAAAUGCUUAAGGGGGAGGCCCUUCUUUCCAUAAGCUGUUCAUUACAAGAUGGUGUUCUUAGUGAAGGGUUUGUCCAGGCCUUCAUACAAGAGCAAGCACGUACAGAGAACCCCAAGAGCCUGCUGUUCAACCAGGCAAGCCAGAGGCUUUCCCAGCAAACCUCUGGGGGAAAAAAAACAGUUUAGAAGUAGAGACUAAGAAGAAAAGUCCCAAAUGGUCUCCUGGAGCCAAUGCACACAGGCAUAAUUCAGGGCGCCACCCCCACGCAGGCUUUGCUGCUACACUAGCAUGCGAGUUUAGAAUUAGCACUCCAGCUCUUUCAGAGGAGGUUUCAGAACUUUGCUCUCUUUCCUUGAAAACUAAAAAUGCAGUGCACAACAUGCUCUGCAUGUUCAGACCGUGUUGAGGUGGUGAGAGAACUGUUUUCCCUGAAGCCCCAAGUCUCCUGCUCUCUCAUCUAGGCUGUCAAAAGUCCUUCCCGCAUCCCUGGCCAUUCAAUCAGACUUUAAAGAUCCAGGAAGGAAGAACUUCCCAGCAAUGCUCAGAGAAAACAGGGCUCUCGGGGUGAUACUCAGUCUUCUGUCCCUGUGAACCAAGAACUGCUCAGUGGACAGAGACCUCAUUGGGUUGCAGGAAGAAAGAAGGCCACUUGCCUCCAGAAUCCAUGACAAUGAGAAGCACACAUUUGGCAUUUGCACUGGGAUAUUCUCCUUGCCAGCAGCUUCCCACCUGUGAUGUCCCGUGACCCUGCCAUGCACACGAGCCCCAGAACUGAGACCUCACUCAAAGCUCUGUGCCUAGUAGUACCCCACCUCUCAUGAGGACAUGUACACGUAUGACAUGUCAAUCACCUGUCUCCUUUAUUGGACUGCAGCUUCAAGCAGAGCAGCAGGAUAUGCUUGCCAACGUUCACUUUCUCACAAGAGAUUAACUUCCCCAAAUACUUGUGCCUAGACAGAAGAAUGAACGAUUACAUUGUGUGAGGUGGGUGGGUGGUAAGGCGUGUGCAUUAGAAAGGCUACAGGCAAAAGCAGAGGUGUGUGGGUGAGCUGACAGUCAAAAUGGCAAAUGGUGCCAGACAUUAGCCUGACCCACCAGCCUACCCUACCUGAUGUUGUUGAGUCUCGAAGUCACUGGUCUCUUCAUCUUGGUCCCUACAGAUCACCUUAAUGUCCCUGAAGUGCUGCUGUAGCAGGGCCUAAUCCCCCUGCAUUUUUUCCUGCCUCAACAUACAAACCUUCUUCAGCUGACACUGCUCCAUCAAGAGUCAUCUGUGCAGGGUAUGGCGAACAAACUCUGCAGAAUAAGCCCCUCACAACCUCCUUUUAGACAUAAUUCGAUUCCCAGAGGCUCCACUUCCUUUGCCCCAUUGAUGGAAGGCCCAGCUCAAGUACACCUCCUCCAUGCCUCACCUGGAGUGUAGCUUCCCCCAGCCUGAAGCUGGCUGAUGCAGACCUUGUUGCCACUGAGGUGGGGCCACCUGCUUUGCAGCUUUCCGACUUGGCUGGCUUCUUUUCAAGUGUCUACUGCCCUGAGAUUCUGCUACCUGGCCAAGAGGCUGAACCUGUGUUCCUGAGACAUUCCUGAAUAAGCAAUAGCCUGGCGACCAAGUGCUGACAGCAUGGCGACAAAGCACCAAGGAUGGACUGGCAGGGGGAAUGGGUCUUCCCCUUUUUAAGCACAGUCUCUUAGUAAACUCGCGGGCCUUGAUCAGAGAAAAAAUUGUCUUGGCUUCAUUCUUUUCUCGCCGUCUAGUCUCUCUUUCAGCCCCAGCCUGCCUUCGAGGAAUACCCGGUUCAUGUAGGCCAUGGGCCAGCCUCCUACUACAGAUUGGUGCCUGAAAAUGGCAGGAAAACACUGAGGGACCGCUGUCUUGUGUAGAGCUCCACAAGAAGGGAAGAAAAAGAUCGUAUCGAGCACAGUGAGCAACAGGUAUUUAUGCCAGCCCUGGUUUUAAAUUUCAUUCUUUUAAAGUGUUGCUGGAGGUGCGAUAGGAUACAGGAUAAGUUGGAACAGUGCUAACCCGGGGCUGAUUCCACUUAGGGUUUGACAGCAAAAUAUGGGACUAGAAACUCCCAAACAGGUGGUUGUCUGCAGCUUUCA